GGAAGGGGCUGAUAUGCAUCACCGGGAGCGAGUCGCCUGUGGUGGUGGUUCUUUCCGGUAGUAUGGAGCCCGGGUUUCAGAGGGGUGAUAUACUGUUUUUGCGGAUGAACAAGGAUCCAAUUCGGGCCGGUGAGAUUGUUGUGUUUCAGAUUGAUGGUAAAGAUAUUCCAAUUGUUCAUCGAGUAAUUAAGGUCCAUGAGAGAUCUACAGAAGAAGUCGAUAUUCUCACAAAAGGGGAUAAUAAUGAAAUCGACGAUAGAGUUUUAUAUGCUCGUGGCCAGCGUUGGCUUCCUCGGCAUCAGAUAAUGGGGCGUGCAAUAGGAUUUUUGCCAUAUGCUGGUUGGGUAACCAUUAUCAUGACCGAGAAGCCCAUCGUAAAGUACGUACUCAUCGGAGCUCUGGGAUUAC
rnacentral:misc_RNA from 1 species